UACGAAGGGGGCUAGCGUUGUUCGGAAUUACUGGGCGUAAAGCGCACGUAGGCGGGUCUGUAAGUAGAGGGUGAAAUCCCAGGGCUCAACCCUGGAACUGCCUUCUAGACUGCAGGCCUCGAGGUCAGGAGAGGCGAGUGGAAUACCGAGUGUAGAGGUGAAAUUCGUAGAUAUUGGGAAGAACACCGGUGGCGAAGGCGGCGCUCUGGACCGAGACUGACGCUGAGG
rnacentral:rRNA from 1 species